CCUGGAAGGAGAUGGUGCCAAUGCAUGCGCACUCAAAAUCGGACCGUGAGGUAGCAAACAUGAAGAAAUUUGCGCCAGGUUAUUCAGUUUUCAAUGCCCUCUAGCAAAUGAUGAAUGCAUAAAAGGCAUUAACUGUGGUUAUGUCGAGUUUCUAGAGACGACCUGUGACACACACAUGUAAUGGAGCUGUCAAUAAAUUAUUAGCUAUCCUGACUUCAGGUCUUAGAUGAACAGUGAGUUGGAAUCCAAUGUGUGGGUCAUGGACAUUACCGAAUGCUGUGAUUCACAGACAGUGGCUCAGGAGCCACACGUGUCUCACAACACAUUAUAUCUGAGUCAAAGGUUUCAGGUGUUUAAAAACUGGGUCCCAAGGAAAAGAUAUUGGUGAAAUAUGACUUUAAUCCAAUUUGGGGUACUUUUUUGUCUUCGUGUGUUUUCUUAUUUACAACUAAUAUUAAUAUUAGGGGGCAAGGAGUGACAAAAUUAAAUACAUAAAUGAAUUAAAUACACCAUUAAAUAAUUAAAUGUGUCAGUUAUUUAAAAUUGGAAUUAGUGAACUAAAUAAAGAUUUAAAUAUUUCUGUUCAAACAUUUAAUAAAUUACUUAUUUUAAAUUUUAUUUGAUUAAUGACAUAAACGCCCCUCAUGGUUAAUGCCCCCUCAUGCAUCAUCAGAUACAAUACAUGCAUACAUCAAAUCAAAACCACAAUGACUUUUAACACAGUUUGAAAAGAACAUCCCCUCGUCUCCCUGCCAGUUGUCUUUCUGUCGCUGCCGGACGUACGCUUAUCGUCUGAAACAUCAGGCCCACAUCCUGCAAGAACCUCUACUAAAAGCUUAAUGAAAGAAUAUAAAAGUAUAAAAGACAAUUUGAAUAACCU